GCAAGUCGAGGGGUAACAUAGGAAGCUUGCUUUCUGAUGACGACCGGCGCACGGGUGCGUAACGCGUAUGAAACCUACCUUUUACAGGGGAAUAGCCCAGAGAAAUUUGGAUUAAUGCCCCAUGGUUCUAUAGAGCUGCAUAGUUUAAUAGAUAAAGCUUCGGCGGUAAAAGAUGGUCAUGCGUGACAUUAGAUAGUUGGUGAGGUAACGGCUCACCAAGUCGACGAUGUCUAGGGGUUCUGAGAGGAAGGUC
rnacentral:rRNA from 1 species